AGUUGUUGUUUUUGCUAGUGAUGUGUGUAUGUUUUUUUAUGCUGCUGAACUGAUGCUCUGAUUGAUUUAUUGUGAUCGUGUGUUCUGUUGUUUGUUUUAGCCAAAAUUUUCCAAAGGGGAAGUUUGUUGGUUCUAUGAAUUGGCAUUAAUUUUGGUAAAACUUAGUGUUAUCACAAGAAGUCACGCUUGUAGUCUUGACAUGUGAUAUCAAC
rnacentral:lncRNA from 1 species